AUGGUUGGAGGUAUUGUAUCAUUGGUUUUCCUGUCUAUGGUUGUUGGGUUGGACGCCCUUUUCUGUGGCUCAAUAGAUCGCACUAUAGAAAUCUGCAAUGACCGAUUUAAUAUACUGAAACUGUUUUGUUGCAAUGAUUAUCAAUAUGCUGUGUGUCGUGUGGCACCGAACCCAAGUUUACCAGUCGAUGGACGCAACAAUAUUAACGGAAACAUUUUCAUAAAGCAAUUGCCAGGGGGACCACUUGAGGUCGACAUUCAGUUAAACGGGUUUUUUGAUAAUGGUGAUGACGGUACUCGCAACUACUGUAUGAGAAAAUAUCCAUUUGGUAAUAUGACAAAUGGCUGUGAAUCUAUUGGUAAUGGUAUUCCUCCGAGGCCAUGUACUGAGUUUGGAAGUUUAACUGUCAAUAAUGAAGGUUUGGUGUUAAAGAAAUUCCAAGAUACUGGAGUGGACAUCAGUAGGAUUAUCGGGGGAGGUGUUGUGAUUCACUCCGGAGAUGACGAAUCAGGAACAUUUGGAGAUAGACUUGCGUGUGGGGUUAUAGAAACCAUGAAGCAAUCCUGGUUUGUAUAAGUAUGAAAAAUAAAGUAUUGAAAUAAGAAUAAACUUAUUUACCUUACACCAUA